AUUGAACGCUGGCGGAAUGCUUUACACAUGUAAGUCGAACGGCAGCACGGACUUCGGUCUGGUGGCGAGUGGCGAACGGGUGAGUAAUGUAUCGGAACGUGCCCAGUCGUGGGGGAUAACGUAGUGAAAAUUACGCUAAUACCGCAUACGAUCUAUGGAUGAAAGCGGGGGAUCGCAAGACCUCGCGCGAUUGGAGCGGCCGAUAUCAGAUUAGGUAGUUGGUGGGGUAAAGGGCCACCAAGCCAACGAUCUGUAGCUGUCUGAGAGGACGACCAGCCACACUGGAACUGAGACACGGUCCAGACUCCUACGGGAGGCAGCAGUGGGGAAUUUUGGACAAUGGGCGAAAGCCUGAUCCAGCCAUUCCGCGUGCAGGAUGAAGGCCCUCGGGUUGUAAACUGCUUUUGUACAGAACGAAAAGGUUUCUACUAAUACUAGGAGCUCAUGACGGUACUGUAAGAAUAAGCACCGGCUAACUACGUGCCAGCAGCCGCCGUAA
rnacentral:rRNA from 1 species